rnacentral:rRNA from 1 species
UACAGAGGGGGCAAGCGUUAUUCGGAAUUAUUGGGCGUAAAGGGCGCGUAGGCGGCUUCGCAAGUGACGGGUGAAAUCCCUCGGCUUAACCGAGGAACUGCCUGUCAAACUGCGUGGCUUGAGACCAGGAGAGGUGAGUGGAAUUCCCAGUGUAGCGGUGAAAUGCGUAGAUAUUGGGAGGAACACCAGUGGCGAAGGCGGCGACCUGGACAGUUACUGACACUCAACUACGAAAGCGUGGGGAGCAAACGGG